CCUACGGGAGGCAGCAGUGAGGAAUAUUGGUCAAUGGACGAGAGUCUGAACCAGCCAAGUAGCGUGAAGGAUGACUGCCCUAUGGGUUGUAAACUUCUUUUAUAUGGGAAUAAAACGUUCCACGUGUGGGAUUUUGUAUGUACCAUAUGAAUAAGGAUCGGCUAACUCCGUGCCAGCAGCCGCGGUAAUACGGAGGAUCCGAGCGUUAUCCGGAUUUAUUGGGUUUAAAGGGAGCGUAGGUGGAUUGUUAAGUCAGCUGUGAAAGUUUGCGGCUCAACCGUAAAAUUGCAGUUGAAACUGGCAGUCUUGAGUACAGUAGAGGUAGGCGGAAUUCGUGGUGUAGCGGUGAAAUGCUUAGAUAUCACGAAGAACUCCGAUUGCGAAGGCAGUUCACUGGACUGCAACUGACACUGAGGCUCGAAAGUGUGGGUAUCAAACAGGAUUAGAUACCCUGGUAGUC
rnacentral:rRNA from 1 species